GCCUGGGUGGCUCAAUCAGUUGAGCACCCAAUUUCAGCUCAGGUCAUGAUCUCACGAUUCGUGGGUUCGAGCCCCACAUCAGGUU
rnacentral:tRNA from 1 species